GAAGACUCGAAUGAUUUAAAAGCGCACCGGUAAAUUCAAUAACCAAGAAAAAUAAUUACCGGACGAUCCAACAGAAAGAAUCCGUAUUCAAUGAAAUGAUGACCUAUUUGUGUAAUAUUGAGAGAUUUACUUACUGUAGAUUCCAUGAGUCGUCUCUUAUCUCCCUUCCGUGACGGCCUUUACCUAUGUACUGUGUUGGUUUAUUAUUAAAGUCGUUUCGAAGCUCACCCUUCAGAAAUGCCUUGUCAGUUGGAAAAGGAAGAAAACACCAUUUGCCUGAAUACGGAAAAUUUGGUCUGUCUCGCCAUCACAGAUAAUGGCACGGGUACAAUUUGAAAA